rnacentral:rRNA from 1 species
UACGGAGGAUGCAAGCGUUAUCCGGAUUCAUUGGGUUUAAAGGGUGCGUAGGCGGCUUUUUAAGUCAGUGGUGAAAUCUUGCCGCUUAACGGUAAAAUUGCCAUUGAUACUGACAAGCUUGAGUACAGUUGAGGUAAGCGGAAUGUGUAGUGUAGCGGUGAAAUGCUUAGAUAUUACACAGAACACCGAUUGCGAAGGCAGCUUACUAAACUGUUACUGACGCUGAUGCACGAAAGCGUGGGGAGCGAACAGGAUUAGAUACCCUGGUAGUCCACGCCGUAAACGAUGAUCACUCGCUGUAUGCGAUACACAGUAUGCGGCCAAGCGAAAGCAUUAAGUGAUCCACCUGGGGAGUACGAUCGCAAGGUUGAA